rnacentral:rRNA from 1 species
AUGGCGCUCCAAGCUCAGCUUGAGCUCUACCACCACGCCAUGGCGUUUGUCAGGUCCGCGGCGCUCAAGGCCGCCGUGGACCUACGCAUCUCCGACGCCAUCCACCGCCGUGGAGGUGCCGCCACCUUGCCCGAGGUUGCCACCGAGACCGGGAUCCAACCGACGAAGCUUUCCCACCUCCGUCGGCUCAUGCGCGUCCUCGUCACCUUCGGCAUCUUCUCUGUCGAUCAAGGCCGCCACGCCGAUGCCAACGACGUGCGCUACAAGCUCACCCCGGUCUCCCGCCUCCUCGUCGGGGACUACAACCAGUCUCCCAUCGUGCGUCUGUUUUUGGACCCGUCGUACGUGACCGCUCUCUGCGGCAUAGCGGAGUGGUUCACCGACGAGCACGCGUCAGCUCGCACGCUCUUCGAGGUGGUGCACGGGUGCACGCGAGAUGAAAUGGUAGCAAGGAUGGAUACGCGCGGGGAGUACAACGUCGGCGUGGCCGCCGACAGCCGCCUCGUCAUGGAGGUUGCCCUCAAGGAGCACCGCGGCAUCUUCGAGGGCGUGAGCUCCCUCGUCGACGCCGGUGGUGCCCAUGGUGCCGCAGCGGAAGCCAUCUGCAAAGCGUUCCCCCACAUCAAGUGCAUCGUGCUUGAUCUCCCACACGCGAUCGCAGGGGCACCUGCCAUUGAAAACGUCCAGUUUGCGGCCGGCGAUUUGUUUGAGUACGUGCCACCUGCCGACGUUGUUCUACUCAAGUGGGUUAUGUGCUUGUGGCAAGACGAAGAUGCCGUCAAGGUGCUACGACGGUGCAAAGACGCCAUAACAACCGGUAGAAGCGCCGGAGGGAAGGUGAUAAUCAUCGACGUCGUGAUAGGCUCCGGUGUGUCGCGGGACGAAGUUCUUCUUAGGGAGAUGCAGGUUCUAUAUGAUGUCUUCAUGAUGCGCGUUGACGGGACGGAUCGAGACGAGCAUCAGUGGAGGAAGAUCUUCUUCGAGGCCGGCUUCAAGGACUACAAGAUCACUCCGAUGCUUGGAUAUCGGUCCAUCAUUGAAGUCUACCCUUGA